CGCAGCAUGGCUGAAAGGAUUGAAAACAAAGAAUCUGAGUUUUCAUAGCACAGGACCUCCUUCAGGUGUUCUAUUUGCAUGAAGGGAGAGGAGUAAAGGAGCUAGUUUGGCUGGAAACGCCAGACGUAAUCGAUCCAGGUCUUGGGAGAGUCCAGGAUAGUCCUCCUCUCUGCAAGUGCUGGGCAGAGACACCUGCUCAACUGAUACCCACAGGAGAUUAUGGAAAUCGGCCUUCAUCACCUUCUGAAAUCUGGGCUUCUCUCAGAAUGUCCUGAAGGGUCUGCUCAGCUUGCCGCAUCCUGCCUUCCAGCUCGGUGCUGGGCACUGCUCCACCACCACUCUGAGCCCUUGAAACCAGGGCCUCCAGGCUCUGGAGCUGCUGCCUAAACUGGUCCAUCUGAAACCACACAGGAAAGAUCAGAACAGAAGGUGGAGAUCACAGUCCAAUACCAGGUACUCGGGGGGGAUAAUAGUUAAGAGCCCAGAAAUGCUUGGCAGGUCAUGGUAGUAGUUAGAUUAGAGCCUAGACUCUAAGUUUGAAUCCUGGCCCCCCUAUUUAUUAGCUGUGAGUGUGACCUCAGGCAAGUCACUUUUAUCCAUUAAAUGAGGAUAAUAAAAUAUCUCCUAGUUAUUUGGUCUAAGUUAGUACCUGUAUAGGGCUUAGAACAGUGUCUGGAACAAAAAAGUGCUAUAGAGGGCAGGUAAAACUGAUAAAUUAAAAAAAAAAAGUUGAAUUUGUUCUAAUCUUCAGGGUUUGGGCCUUCUCUGCCUCCGCCCUUCACCCUAGGAAAUAGUAACUAAUUAACAUCCAUGUCCUUCUCUGGAAUGUGAAAGAAAUUUCUGGAGGCCAUUCUUUGAACAGUCUUGACACCUUCUAGACUCCAUGGAUCUUCUAUAUAUUUUUGUUUUGCAAAGGACCUCUCUUACAAAUCCAACUAGAAAGUGGUAUAAGUGGAAAGAGUACUGAAUUCACAGGGAAUUCAGGGUGGGAUUCUUGGCUCCACUUGGCCAUGUGACUGAAAAGUCACAGAUGUCCUGAGACUUGCUCAGUGAAAACGGAUGUCAGAAUACGUUCUCUUGCAAAUUCACAAAGUUAUCAAGUGUACCAAAUGAGACCGUAUCUGCAAAAGGGUACUUUUGAAAAGUCUAUUUAAGAGCAUCUGAAACCUAUUAACUACAUUUUAACUUAGCAAUUCUUAAAGCAACAAAUAGUAAUCCCCACCCUCAUCCCCAGGAGGCUAGGAGGGUCCUAGAUUUGUGACAGACCCACCCAGUAGACACUUAGACUGUCCUUAUGGGGGUGAGAGUUGGGUAACAUGCACACCUGAAUCUUCACUUGAUUAUAGCAAGCUGGGCAGCUGGUUAAUGCUGCAUGCUCACAGGUGAGGCCGCCAUACCCUGGCUUGCAAACACAGCUGCCAUCACUUCGGCACUCCCCAGGCUCUGAGCCCAUUGGGUUGCAGUUGCAAGCUAGAGAGAAAAGACAAAGCAUUCAUAUCAAGCUAAUUCUAGAAACUGGGGUUAUAGCAAAGGUAAAAGGAUCAAGUCACCAAUGGCAAAGAAUCCUUCUUUGCCCUUGUCAGUUCACACUGUGCUAGAUUCCUCUCUUGCCUGGGACUCCAACUACAUUUCCAAUAUAGAGCUUGGGAAUCAUCUAGUAAGUUUGGUGAACGUGUGGAUAAAGAGGGACUACAACAGUGCAUCCUUUCUGGUGGUGCUUUUUUCCUCCCAUUAAGUUGUAAAGCUGUUGGAUAUUCUGCAGGUACUCUAGCUCACUUUAUUUUAUAGAUGAAGAAUAGGAGCUCAGAGAGGCUGAGUCAUCUGUAGGUCACACAGCAAGUAAAUGGCAAGCCAGAAUGAGAACUUGGAAAAGAGGCAAUGCUCUUUUCCUUUUGCUCUGCUGCCUUUGAUGUAGGAAAUGCAGUUAAAAAAAAGUAUCUUUAUUCAUUCAUACUGAUUGAGCACCUAUGUGCCACACUGUUCUAGGAGCAGAGGAUAGAACAGUGGGUGAGGUAGUGCACUAAGGGAGUUAAAGUGAUUCUCUUGGUUGCUCUGACGCUCGUGAAAUACUUGGCACAUAAUAUCACACAUAAGUGUCUUGUUACUUACAUAUUUUUGUCUUAUUAGCAUAUGAUCUCUUUGGGGGCUGGAACUGACCUAUUCAUUGCUAUGCCCUAACAUCUAGUUCCAUAUAUGGAUACUUGGCAGGGAUUUGACAAAAGAUAGUUGAGUGAAGAAAUGUAUAGUUUAAAGCCAGUAAAGUCUCUUAAUAACUCCUUAUCGCUAGAGUUAUUCUGUUUACAGUGUACUUUCUCAUAUGCUCUUCUAUUUACAACCAUUUUGAGCUAAAUAUUCAUCCAUAUGAAGAAGCUGAGGCUCAGAUUAACUGCCAUAACCAGUGUAAUACAAUAGGUAAAAAACUAGACUUGAACUCAGUACUGCAAAAAUGGCAUGUGGGCUCUUCCUAUCAUGGGGUACUUCCAAGCACACUGGAGCUAACCCACAGGGUUGGGGUUAGGGCAGGUGGGAUCUCUGCCCCUGUGUGGAAGCCUCAGGUUGCACAGAGAUCCUUAGGCAUUUUCAGGGGUGGAGGUUCUGUGGGCUGGGCUCCCUGCAGACCUUACAAGGAACUGGGAGUCCUCCAAUCUGGGUCCCCAGAGGCCCUCGUGGCUCUGUUAUGAUAAACAAGCCCCUGCAUUCUGGGCAUCAGGGCUGGUCUGGGACCUUUGCAACUGAGUGUAGGUCUGUGGGGGCAGGCCAGCUCCCUAGAACUGAACUUCUUGAAUAUAUGACAUGUGCAGAGGCUGGAAAGAAGGGCCGAGCAAGAGGACCCAUGUGCACAUUGGCGCUUUGAUCUGAAGCAUCCCUGAGGAGUGCUCCCAGAUAGCUGCUGCUUUGAAGCCAGGUCUCCUUAGUAGAACUUGAAACUGUUACCUUUGUCUACAUCAAUUACCCAGACUUCCUGAGAGGGUCUCUUACACUGCUUCACAGCACCCCCCUCGCCACCUCCGUGUGUUCAGGCUUAGUCUCAGGUCCUUUCUUGCUGUCCUGUGAGAGGCUUUUGCCAACACUUCCUCUGCCAGCCUUGGAACCAGGCAUACGACCUGGCCACUUCGCACCUCCUCUUCCACUCAGGAAUGUAAGCCUGGCCUUCUCUACUUCUCCCACCCAGCUUUAACCCACUCGACACCCUCCAGCUCUGUCUUCCAGAACCCUGCUGAGGGGUCUUAAGGCCUUUGACAGGUGAAAAGUCCAAACUGUUCGUGGGCCAGUCGGUCAGAGAAACCACAGUAGCAUCCUAUUACCUGCUGCUGGCCCAGCUGAUUUGUAUGUUCUUACAUGUGUGCACAUGCACACGCCAUCUGUCGAGGGAUGCCGUCUUACCUCGACACUUGUCCGCUGGGUUGGUAGCCAAAGGGUCCCCAAAGUAGCCUGCUUUGCACCGGUCACAGUGGACACCAGCUGUGUUGUGGAUGCACUUCAGACACCUGCCUGUCAGGCGGUCGCAGUUCCCGGAAGCACUGGGAUCCACGUUGUUGUUGCACUGACAGGGCUGACAAGGCCUCACUGGGCCAUGCUCCCCAAAUGGGUCCCCAAAGUAGCCAUCAGCACAGAGCUCGCAGCGGGCACCUGGAAGAAAAACAAAUGCCUGAGCCUGAGUGGUCAUCUGUCGAUGGCAAGAACAGGCACAGGGGCCUGGGUCCCAGUCACCCUCUGGAAGAGUCUCCCACCCUGGACCCCAGAACAAUAGCAGGAGCAGGUGCCCAGGGCAGGAGGUCCGCUCUUCCAUUCAUUCCAUGGUGGUCCCAGAUGUUAGAACACAGCAGCCCUACUAGGAGGCUUCCUGCCGAUUAACUAGAUGGUUGAGGAAGUCAGAUUUAUAGUACCAUCACUGAGGCUGUUGCUGAAGAAUGAACUUUCAGACUGACCAGCAGACAAAUGUGACAUUUUUUUUAAAGUAACUUCUACACGCAACAUGGGGCUCAAACCGACAACUCCAAGAUCAAGAGUUGCAUGCUCUACUGAUGGAGCCAGCCAGGUGCCCCAAGAGAGGUGGCAUUUAAAAUGCCACUAAGUUUCCCUUCUGUACUGCGGUUCAUUUUGUAAAACUGAAGCCACAUAUUUCAUCUGCAGCCUUCGCCUCCUAAUUACAAACCUCCUAAAACAGCAUUGGCCACACAUACAUACCAUACAAGACCAUGCGCUGCCCUUCCUCACCUCUCGGGCAUAUUGUUCUCUUUAGAAUGAGCCUGUUUACGUGAACGCUAAGGAAUUAUAAUUCCCCAGAAUUUUUUUGGAAGAGCAGCUGUUGAUGUGGAUUUGUGGCAUCAGGACAGGGAAGCAGGCCAUGGGCCUUACCGGUGACCCCGUGGGGGCAGUUAUUGCACACCACCUCCUCUGUCUCGGGCAUCACGGAGCAGCUGAACCCGUUGCGGCAGGGGCACGGCUUGCAGCUGCGGGGGUCGUGUGGAUCGUUGUAGAAACCAAUAGGGCAGUCGGCACAUUCGAUGUCAAGAUUUUCAUCCCCCGAAUAACAAUCUCCUGGGAGGGAGCAAGAAAGGAGGGGCAGAGAAAUGAGCAGGUAAAACAAUACACUUCCUUUAAUAUGGAUGAGGCAUGGGAGGCAGAGCGGAGUGACCAAAACCUUCCUUUUUGAAGCUUUCUCCAAAGUGAGCACUGGCAUUCACCUUUGCCUUAGUACCAACUCUAGACCUGGCCACAACCCUGAAUCUCACCCUGGCUCUCCUACACUGAGACCUAGCUUCCUUUACCAUCCAUACCUCAAUGCUGCUCCCCCAGUCCCCACGGCCUGAGGCCAUUUGUCCACACAUUCAUUCAGACCCUGACAUUGCCUUUGAUGUCUCCAUACAACUCUUGAAACUCAACACCAACUACACCAAUCCCCCCUCCCCCCACUGAACCCUGACAGCCAUUUCCUGUAACCUGGUACCUUUCCCACAACCUUGUGGCAUUUCCAUAAUGAAAAGGAUUGAGUGUAAUAAAGCUCCAUGUCCUUUCUGUCAGACUCCAGCCCCUACCUUCCUAACCCUUUCCCAUCUCCAAAAUGAGUUGCACGGUCUUUCUUACAUAGCUCCGUUUCUUCCUCAGGUCCCCAGCCACCUAGCAGUACCCCAGCCACCUGGAACAGGUGUCUUUUCACUCACCUGUGUCUGGAUCGCAGGCUCCUCCCCCUUGGCAGUUACAUGGAAUACAGGUGCCAAAAGGUCCCAGUCUGGCAGAAUCUCUUUUGUAGCCAGAAGCACAAUCCUGGCAGAACUGCCCUUUGUACCCAACGGGACAUACGCAUUGUUCAACCCAGGGUGCUGGGGCUCCGGAGACGGGGCGAGCUGAAAUCAGGGUCACGUUGUCAAGGUACCCAGUACCUGCAAUACGGAGAACAGGUUUAGAAGCCAGCAGGUGGUGAGGUCUGAAGAUCUAAAGUCAGGCCUCUCUCUAGAUUUUAGAUUUAACACCCUAACAAAGAUGAGUGGCGUUCACUCACUAUGCCGCAGGUACGGCAGUCCGUCAUGACUGACGCACAUCAGAAAAGCCAGGGUUUAAAUUCUGGUUCCACCCUCACCAACUGUGUGAAGUGGGUGGGCAAGUCGCAUAACUUUACAACUGUUUCCUCAACUGUAGAAGUAAGAAUGGUCUCUGCCUCCCAUGUUGGUUGUGACAUUAAAUGGGACAACUGCAUAUGUUACGUGCUUGGUUCAAGGUAAAGAUUCAAUAAACUGUUAAUAAACACUGUUUCCUCUUAAUGCAAAUAAAGCAGGGAUGAUAUAGAAAUUA